CUUUUUCAUUUAUUUAAAAAUGUUUCUGUCCAGUACCAAUCUUUCCACUGUUUGCUUUGGUUUCAAUGCCUGUAUCAUAGAAGGGUCCAUGUCAUAAAAGUCAAAAAACAGUCUUGAAUAAUCAGAACCCUUCUGCCAGAAUGUCUAAUGUCCAUCUGUUUUCUGGCACUACUGCUUCUAUGUCUUCUUCCUCAUCAUCUGGCAAUGGUUUGGAAGCACUCAUCUCCAUCAAGUUGCCUUCUAUUAAUUCCUCUGGUGUGGCAUCUAUUAGCUCUUGAAUUUCUCCAGGUUCCCUAAUCUUGAAGCCCUUUACCGCCAUUCUCCACUUUUUGUUUGCCAUAUCCACAAUCUCUUUUAUGAUUUCCUUGAUUGGCUCUGUCAUAAAUCCUGUGAAGUUGUACACAACAUCUGGACACCAGCAGGGAUUUAUUGUUUCAGGCUUGAUGGCUUUCAAGGCUUUUUCUGUUAACAAUGAUGGCAUCCUUGAUGAUGUAAUCCUUCCAGACUUUCAUAAUGUUCUACUGGGGUUCUCUUCCACAGCGUUGAAAAUCCUUUCCAUAGAGUACCAGGCAUAAUGAGCCUUAAAGGUCCUUAUGACCCCUGAUCUAAUCUAGUGGUUGAAUUAAAGACAUGUUUGGGGUCAGGUAGGCCACUUCUACACUUUUGGAGUUGAACUCAUGAGGUUCCGGAUGGCCAGGGGUUCUGUCCAGUAUCAAAAGAACUUUAAAAGGCAGUCCCUUACUGGCAAGGUACUUCCUCACUUCAGAGACAAAGCAUGGAUGGAACCAAUCCAGAAAAAGGUUUCUCACUGUCCAAGCCUUCUUGUUGUAAAACCGAA
rnacentral:lncRNA from 10 species